rnacentral:misc_RNA from 1 species
GAAAUACGAUAAGUAAUGUGAAUUGCAGAAUUCAGUGAAUCAUCGAAUCUUUGAACGCACAUUGCGCCCGCCAGUAUUCUGGCGGGCAUGCCUGUUCGAGCGUCAUUUCAACCAUCAAGCCCCCGGCUUGUGUUGGGGACCUGCGGCUGCCCGCAGGCCCUGAAAAACAGUGGCGGGCUCGCUGUCACACCGAGCGUAGUAGCAUACAUUCUCGCUCAGGGCGUGCUGCGGGUUCCGGCCGUUAAACGACCUUCAUAACCCAAGGUUGACCUCGGAUCAGGUAGGAAGACCCGCUGAACUUAAGC